ensembl:lncRNA
UUUCUCAUGCCAAGAUUGCUCACUGAUAAAUACAUAGUAAUAUGUGAACUGGACAGAUAGCAGCAAAGUUUGCACUGUGUAACUGUGUAAAAGGUAUAGGAGCCACUAUUAAUACACUGUGGUAACUAAAAUUUGGACCCUGCUGUUGGUGUCAUCUUACUAAGCCAUUGUAACUACAAUUUAGGCUUCCCAUGUAGUGCAAGUGUAAAGAACCCACUUGCCAAAGCAGGGGACAUAGAGACAUGGGUUCAGUCCCAGGGUCAGGAAGAUCCCCUGCAGGAGGGCAUGGCAAUCCACUCCAGUAGUCUUGCCUGGAGAAUCACAUGGUCAGAGGAGCCUGAUGGGCUACAGUCCGUAAGGUCGCAGAGUCGGAUAUGACUGAAGCGACUUAGUAUACGUGCACACAUUUUCUAUAUGUAUGUGCUAAUGAGCCUGCCUGUAUAGAUAAUUGGUUAAUAAGUUACAUAACUUAAGAUGGUUUAUACCUAAAUGAUAAGUUAUUUUAGGUUCUUUAUCAAAAAGGAAAACAUUAAAUAGUCUACAGUGGAGGUAUGUUUUGUUUCCACCCACAGUUACGUUAUACAGAAUUUGCCUAAAUGGAAUUUGCCCUUCAUGAUGAAGAUGGUUUGGCUUGGCUAGUAGCUGCUUUUGGGUCAAGGUGUCUUUUUUUUCUUCUUCUUUAACCUUUAUAUUGUGGAACUUCAUAUGAACAAAUCACCUAUAGAGAUGGUGAGGUUCUGGGAUACUCAUUCUUGUUCACUAGGUUAACGAACACUAAUUUAUAUCUGGAGCUUUAGAUACUGCAAUUAGUCAUUGGCAUAUGGAAGAAUGGACAAGUUCAUUCAGUCAAGGGACGAACACAUUUCUUGGAAUGUUGUAAAACAAAACAUAAUAAGAAUUAAAGUAUUUUUUUCAAUUAAUGUUUAUUCAAAAAUUUAUUUCUCCGAAUUUGAGAUAUAUGUCUCUUUAGAUCAUGAAAAGUGAAAAAGUGAAAGUGAAAGUUGCUCAGUUGUGUCUGAUUCUUUGCGACCCCAUNNNNNNNNNNNNNNNNNNNNNNNNNNNNNNNNNNNNNNNNNNNNNNNNNNNNNNNNNNNNNNNNNNNNNNNNNNNNNNNNNNNNNNNNNNNNNNNNNNNAAGUGAAAGUGAAAGUUGCUCAGUUGUGUCUGAUUCUUUGCGACCCCAUGAACUAUACAGUCUGUGGAAAUCUAUAGGCCAAAAUAUUGGAGUGGGUAGCCUUUCCCUCUUCCAGGGGAUCUUCCCAACCCAAGGAUCAAACCCAUCUCCCGCAUUGCAGGUAGAUUCUUUACCAACUGAGCUAUCAGGGAAGCCCCAUUUGAAUCAUUACUUAUCAUCUCAUCGGAGUGGAAGAAUAUUGACAAAUUUUGUUUCUAAUGCUUAUUUGUCAACAAUGCAUAUUAGUGACCAAAAUUAAUUUAUUUUUUAACUCAUCCUUUAUAAAUACUUGAACUUUGUUGUUCCUAUAGCAAUAUUCUGCACAUAUUUGAAAAUGGUCAGCACAUAGUAGGUACAUAUUAAAUAUUUCUUUAUCUUUCCUGUUCCUCUCAUUAGUUAUUUUUGCUAUUUUCAUUGAUAAUCUUACUUUAAGAACAUUCAGUGUUGCUCCUUGUAGAGAUUAGAUUUUCAGGGCAAUAUUUGCAAAUCACCACCUGGAUUAGUUUUGUACUAGGAAUAGUUGCAUCAAGAAGCCUUUUAAUAUUGUUAGGAGUAAGGCUUCAUUCAUAGGAUGAAAUUUCCCCUUAAAGAACAACACAGAAAGUGGUUUCCUUACAUUUGAUCCUCAAUAGGAGGAUAUGUUUUAAUAACAUGUAUAGCUUCUCAUUAGUAAAUGCACUCUUACGUGUAAAUUAAAUGACAAAUUGCAUGAGGAACUAGUUGGGUAUAAACUUUUAAUACAAGUCCUACAUUUAGAUGAAAUUUUGCAUGGGUUGGAAAUUUAAAACAGACUACAAAUCUCUUUUAAACUAAAUUGUCACUCUGUUUCAAAAUGAGUGUUCCCACAUCAUGCUAAUAAACUGUACUGUGUCAUGUUUAUGUUUGAAAUCUCAUAGGGAUGAUUUCAAAACAGCUCUCUCUGGUGGUACACAGAUGCAACUCUCGCAGUACUUUAUUAACACCAUGUUCCAUUUAAGGAGUCCUUCAUGCUCUGUGUUCUUUUUUCUGCUGACCACCUCCUUGUCAAUUUUUUUUUCCUCUUAUUUCUGAAUGAUCAACACUUUAGACAUAUAAAAAAAAAGCCAUAUUGAGUUCAUGAGGUCUCAUAAGAAUAAUUAGUAAUGGAAAGCUAUAGUGCUGAUUAUUUUCCUAUAACUCUCUGAGUAUACAUUAUUUUAAAUUGUUGGAAUUUCCUUUUCCCAGUUGUAAGGUAAUUUUUAAAAUUAAUAUGUAGAUCCGCUUUUCUUAAUAAUGCUAGUGACACACAUUUUUUGUUGCUCUAUCUAAUUACUUAUUUAAGGCUGAUAUAAGAAUACCUCCCACAAGACACCACUAAUUGUAUGUAACCCAGUUAUUUCUAGACUGACUUUUGUUAUUGUAACAUGAUUAAAAUACCACAUUAAUUAUGUAGAACUCUAUAAAAUGGAAUUCAACAGAGGUAAUAAAUGCAUAUUAAUAAUACCUAAGUUAUUAGUCUAUAUAUUUGGUUGAAUGAGAUGCAGAAUAUAUUUUCAAUUCAUAGAGAUUAACUGUACAUUAUAUAUGAUAGAUGCCGGGAGAAAUAUCAAUAACCUCAGAUAUGCAGAUGACACCACCC